UUCUGCUGUGCAUACAAUGCAAGGCCGAGAUGACUAGCUGCGACUAGAAGACGAUUAUUAAAGAGAAGAAGUUGUACGGAGAAUGGAAAGAGUAUAUGGCAUUCCCUGAAGAAUGGGAAGAUCUCCCUGAAUCAAAGAAUGAUCUGGAUGACUGUUCAGAAGGAGAUUUGAAUGACUCUGAAGAAGAAGUAGAGUCUAGGAAGGAUAAGAAGGAGAUUGAAGAAAGAAUGAGCCGAGGGGUUUGUUAGAUGUAUGCCCUAGAAGCCAACCAGGCCGACACAUGUAUUCUUUCUAGGACAUAAAUUUGUAUUUGACUUUAAAUAUUAUGAAUAACUUUGGGUUUUUUAUAUUUCCAUUCAUGUUGUGUAUGUGUCCAUGAAUCGUCCAAGGAAUUAAUAAAUGAUGACA
rnacentral:lncRNA from 1 species